CCCACUUUGCUGCUGGCAAUGCGAUGUACAGGGCAUUCGCACUUUAGUUCAACAGCUCUCUGCUGAUUUCGGGCACAUCCUGCUCAGUUGGACUACUGACUCCACCCAGGCUCCAGGACCAAGCAUGUCAUGUGGUGUAGACACAGAACCUCACAUUCCACAGGACCUGGUGAGGAUUGGAGCCCAUCAGAAUUAAGCCUGGACCUCUGCAGGACCCACCAAAGGAGGCCUUCACUUUCUGCCAGACCCAUGAGGAGGUGAGAUGCAGGAAGCCUCUGACUGAGAGCAAGGACCAAGGGAGCCAGAGGAGGAAGAAGACAAGAGCCACAGAACUGACAGCCGGGGGUGGCCCAGGGGACACCCAAGACAUGGCCCUGAGACACUGGAAGGAGGUAAUUCUGCAAGCCAAGCUCUACCCUUUCUAUAAAUGAGCUGCCUCUGCAAAAGAAGCAAGAUCAACCAGCCCUGCUCAUGCCUGCACUCGACCCUCAACAGCUCCUGCCUGGCCCAGGUAGACACUUGAUUUCACCUUCUCCUUG